UUGUACACACCGCCCGUCACACCAUGGGAGUGGGUUGCAAAAGAAGUAGGUAGCUUAACCUUCGGGAGGGCGCUUACCACUUUGUGAUUCAUGACUGGGGUGAAGUCGUAACAAGGUAACCGUAGGGGAACCUGCGGUUGGAUCACCUCCUUACC
rnacentral:rRNA from 1 species